UCCAACAGCAUUCUGCUCACGGGAGAAGUGAAGACAGCCUGCAGACAGAGGAGCUGCAGGCUGCCUUCACUUCUCUCGCGUGCAGAAUGCUGUGUCGGAG